AAGUCUGAGGACAGGUGGUCUUUUCCUGAUCCAAAAUGUGCUAGAGCCAUAAGAAAUGAACCCCAGCUUCUCAUCCACUACCAGGCCAGAGGCAACUGCUCCACGCAGCUCAGCCAGCCUUCGAGCCCUUCCUGGGCAUGGGCAGGACCCCAGCAGCUUGCCAACAACGCACCUCAAAGCCAGCGCUGGAUGAAACACCAACACUGCAGCAACACCAGGGGACUUUCCUUUUCCAAGCCGGCUUGUGGAAGGUGAUGGAUGGGCAGCAGUGGAGGCAGAAAUCUUCCUGUUAUACUCACAGGGCAGGUACUGAAUCAGCAGCCAUGGUGGCUACACAAGCUGCACCUCUCUGAACAAGCCUGAGACAAAAAAAAAGAGGUGUUUUGGUGUAUCCUCAUUCUCUACAGCACCUUCCAGCUCCUACAGCCACCUCACCUCUCACUGGUUAACAGGCUUCAUUCUUUUGAGGGAGAAAGUUGAGCCUUGGUUGGUCCUUCAUGCAGAUGGGAAUAUGACUUGGCCAGCCU